rnacentral:rRNA from 1 species
CCUACGGGAGGCAGCAGUGGGGAAUUUUGGACAAUGGGCGCAAGCCUGAUCCAGCAAUGCCGCGUGAGUGAAGAAGGCCUUCGGGUUGUAAAGCUCUUUUGUCAGGGAAGAAACGGUGGGAGCUAAUAUCUCCCGCUAAUGACGGUACCUGAAGAAUAAGCACCGGCUAACUACGUGCCAGCAGCCGCGGUAAUACGUAGGGUGCAAGCGUUAAUCGGAAUUACUGGGCGUAAAGCGUGCGCAGGCGGUUUUGUAAGUCUGUCGUGAAAGCCCCGGGCUCAACCUGGGAAUUGCGAUGGAGACUGCAAGGCUUGAAUCUGGCAGAGGGGGGUAGAAUUCCACGUGUAGCAGUGAAAUGCGUAGAGAUGUGGAGGAACACCGAUGGCGAAGGCAGCCCCCUGGGUCAAGAUUGACGCUCAUGCACGAAAGCGUGGGGAGCAAACAGGAUUAGAUACCCUGGUAGUCCACGCCCUAAACGAUGUCUACUAGUUGUCGGGUUUUAAUUAACUUGGUAACGCAGCUAACGCGUGAAGUAGACCGCCUGGGGAGUACGGUCGCAAGNUUAAAACNCAAAGAUGACGNGNGAGAGNGACGACGACGACGACGAGGAGGAGG